rnacentral:rRNA from 1 species
GGGAUUAAUACCGCAUACGAUUCAUCUGUGGCCUCACAAAUGGAUAAAAGCUACGGCGGUUUCAGAUGGCCAUGCGUACCAUUAGCUAGUUGGUGAGGUAAAGGCUCACCAAGGCGAUGAUGGUUAGGGGUCCUGAGAGGGUAGUCCCCCACACUGGUACUGAGACACGGACCAGACUCCUACGGGAGGCAGCAGUGAGGAAUAUUGGUCAAUGGGCGCUAGCCUGAACCAGCCAUGCCGCGUGCAGGAAGACGGCCCUACGGGUUGUAAACUGCUUUUCUGCAGGAAGAAUAUAUAGUCUUAGGGGUAUAUUGACGGUACUGCAGGAAUAAGCAUCGGCUAACUCCGUGCCAGCAGCCGCGGUAAUACGGAGGAUGCAAGCGUUAUCCGGAUUCAUUGGGUUUAAAGGGUGCGCAGGCUGUAAAGCAAGUCAGUGGUGAAAGCCCUGGGCUUAACUCAGGGAUUGCCAUUGAAACUGUUUUACUAGAGUGUAGUAGAGGACGGCGGAAUGAGUUGUGUAGCGGUGAAAUGCAUAGAUAUAACUCAGAACACCUAUUGCGUAGGCAGCUGUCUAUACUACAACUGACGCUGAGGCACGAAAGCGUGGGGAGCGAACAGGAUUAGAUACCCUGGUAGUCCACGCUGUAAACGAUGAUCACUCGUUGUUGGCUACUUAGUAGUCAGUGACCAAGGGAAACCGAUAAGUGAUCCACCUGGGGAGUACGUCGGCAACGAUGAAACUCAAAGGAAUUGACGGGGGCCCGCACAAGCGGAGGAACAUGUGGUUUAAUUCGAUGAUACGCGAGGAACCUUACCUGGGCUUAAAUGCUGGCUGCAUUGGAGGGAAACCUUCAUUUCCUACGGGACCGCCAGCAAGGUGCUGCAUGGUUGUCGUCAGCUCGUGCCGUGAGGUGUCGGGUUAAGUCCCAUAACGAGCGCAACCCCUAUCGCUAGUUGCCAGCAUGUAAUGGUGGGGACUCUAGCGAGACUGCCGGUGUAAACCGGAGGAAGGUGGGGAUGACGUCAAAUCAGCACGGCCCUUACGUCCAGGGCUACACACGUGUUACAAUGGCCGGUACAAAGAGCAGCCACCUGGCGACAGGGCGCUAAUCUCUAAAACCGGUCUCAGUUCGGAUCGAAGUCUGCAAUUCGACUUCGUGAAGGUGGAUUCGCUAGUAA